UUGUGACAGCCCUAUUCGGUAAAAGUCCAAGUUCAUAUUAUGGCAAGAACAGCUCAAAUAAGUAAAGAGAAACGACAGUCCAUAAUUACUUCAAGACAUGACGGCUGCCAUGGUGUGGGCCUAGCGAGCUGAGCUUUCAAAAAUCACAUCAGGAGUGACAUGAUGUGAACACAAGCAGUAGAGUGAGAUAUUGCAAAGUGAGGGCAAAGCAAAUGGCUGCACUUGUCUGUACCCAUACAUUUAAUGAUAUUCUCCUCCAAUUCGUGUUGAGAGGAGGCGAAGAGAGAGAAUGUGAGGAAUCGAAGAAAGACAAAUUGAGAAAGAGCCUAUCCCUAAAUCCCUGAGCGGGUUGGAUAGGUGAUCUAGCGGUUCUGCAAUGCUCAGAGAAGACUACCGUAUCCCUUCCCCAGACCUGGAUCCAUCUGAUGUCCUCCGUGACCAACCACCCUCCAAGAUCCCACUUUUCAUUACAUUAUCUACAGCUACUGUCAUUGCCAUGUUUAAUCUAAUCUGCUAAGAAACUGUGCUUGCCAUAUCAUCCUAGGCACAGUGAGAUACACAGAUGAACUAUGUACACUAGCACUGCAAAUACUCCAAGAGCGAAGAGAGCAGCUGUGCCUGGACUUUGCAAUCACCAUCUUUAAGUCCCGCUUCUGAGAUUGCAUGCCUGUGGAGGGAAAGUGAAGGGCAAAACCACCCGUAACACCCACCUCCUCUCUAUUCCAGAAUUGAGAGAUACAUUUUUUUUUAUCCAUACCCUACUUCUGCUAAGACUCUUUUGAAGAUCCCCUCUUAUAUUAUGUACUUUACUUGUCAUUCAAACUUAUUUUUUCUAAACUAAAUGGUAUAUUACUGUUGAUGUGUUGAUUGUAAUACAUGACUAUAGGCUGUCUAUAACUGCCAUCUGGGUAUAUUGAAUAAAAUAAGCAAGU